rnacentral:tRNA from 1 species
GUGGGCACAGCUCAGUGGUAGAGCACGUGCUUAGCAUGCACAAGGUCCUGGGUUCAAUCCCCAGUACCUCCU